rnacentral:lncRNA from 1 species
ACUUGCUGAGCGUUCAGAGAUCUGUCAGGGCCAGAGGCCUCUGGGUAGCCUAGGCUAGGAGAUGACACGCAAGGUGGCACGGGCGGUUCCCGUGGGGAGGAGGUGGGGUGGUGGUGGGGGGCAGGGGUGGGAGCAAGAGGUUGUGGGGCGACGGUGGAGGGUUUGAUGGGACCAAAUUCUGGAACAUUCGGGACUGCGGCACCUUACGGCGGGACCAAGAUUUGGGUCUGCGCAGGCGGCGAUGGGUGGUCCGACGGGCUUCAGGACUUGAUGGCGUAACCCCCUUCUUCCCCCACAGGACUCAGGAGAGUGCAGCUUGCUCUGUGAGUGGGUGACAACCUCUUGGCGACUCAGGCUCAGCUGAGGAUGGUGCCAGUGUGCCGGAGACAGCCGUCAUACUGCCGGAUAGAGUGGCUCACUUGCAUGUAUUUGGAACAAAAAAAGGAGAUGCCUGGCAGCCCCGCUCUCUGCAGUGCUGUUGAGCCACCAAUUUUUGUGGUUUUGUGACCACAAGUGCUGACUGAUGCGACAUGACCCCAGUCUUGUCAGUGAAUCAUCACCAGGCUGCUUACUGGAAACUGGAUGCAGCAAGGAAAUAGGAUUUAACCGCUCUCUGCCUCCCAGGAGCCCUGAAAUCAGCAUUCCCAGAGGAAAGAAGAUGGCCAUCUGGGCUUGGCUUCCGGCUCCCCCCAUCUGGCUGGAACACACAUCAGUCACGUAAGUAGCUGUGACUCAGCACCCAGCACUGCCUUGGCAGAACCUUCCCACGUUCUGGAUUUGCACACACUGUGGUAGCGCAGCACAAGCAAGCAGGGUUAGGUAACUGGGGACCAGUGUCUGUUUGUUCAGUGGGUUUGCCUAUGGAUUUCAGAAAGAAGGAUUCCCUCACCUUCCCAUUUUCCUCCCAUGUUAUUUUUUAGGUACCAUGCUAGGCUUUAAAGACAAAGCAUCAUUUAUAGAAUGAAGUAGAAGCUGUCUUUGCAGUCUCCAAACUAUUUUUAACCAACAGCCUAUAGAUGGUAUUUAACCCUCAGGUGUGUUUGGCCUGCACGGGUUUUUGUUUUUGUUUGAGACAGGGUUUCACUCUGUAGCCCAGGCUGGAGUGCAGUGGCACGAUAUCAGCUUGCUGCAACCUCUGCCUCCCGGGCUCGAGCAGUUCUCAUGCCUCAGCCUCCUGAGUAGCUGGGACUACAGGUGCCACCACACCUGGCUAGGGUUAUUUUAAUGUAUCUGAUUUUGCAUGCAUUUAGACAAAAUAUGGCCUCUCCAGUUCACUGUAUUUCUGCUGCAUGCUGUUGCUGCUUCUCUGUCUCAGGUUUCCUGCCCAAGCCCUCCGAGCAUUUGAAUGUGCUGUGAGCAGCCUACCUCAGCCUCCUCUCUUUACACAUGAAGACACUGAGGCCCAUUCAGGGCAAGUGGCAGGUCCCUGUUCUCAGAGUUGGGGCCAAGCAGGUAUUAAAACCAUUGUGUUCUGAUUCACUGUGUGCCCAAGCAGAUUAAUGCCCUGGUGUGAGGUCGAGAAGCCUCCAGGUAGAAUGUGGGGACAGAAGUGGACCAGGCUAGAGUAUAGCUCCCACACCUUUCCCAUGCGUGGCAGCACUCGUAAGACUGACAUGCCCACCCUUCUGGAUGGGUGGUUUUCCUCCCCAGACAGCCCUGCCAACCCUUUCACCUUCAGCCAGUUUGUUUGGAGUCAUUAGGCUGAGGUGGGUAAAACCCAUCACCCUCCUUGGAUGGCAGAGCUCUCAGCAGGCUGGGAUUUUCAUGGGCUGCCUUCUUACAGGUCUAGGUGGCCUUCAGGCAUGGUGCCAGGGAAAGCAAGCCCCUUCCAGCCCUUACCAAACUAACUGGCUGCUUCCUAGUAGGGAACAGCCACCAGCUUGUUUCAGCGAAGAGUCAUUGCUCAGCUGAUUCUGAGAGGAGAAAACUGGUUCUGUUGGGAGGGCUGAGACCUGAAGGACCCCUUUUAUCCAGUGGAAUUGGAAAGGCAAAGGAUUUCAAUACUAACAUGAUUUUUUUCUCCACUUCUUUUAGAGUGUUUAAUUAAAGUGAUGCAUUGUUAAUGGCUUCUUAUCUCUUCUUCCAGAGAGUAAAGAGUUAAAUUUUAGAAUCCAGGAGUGGGGACCCAGACUGUGGCUUCUGUUAACUCCCUCAGUGGCAGUGGCGUCCUGCUAUGCACAGCCCCUCUGCUGUACUCCGAAUGGUCCCUUACGGGUAGCAGGAGAGACAUUAAAUAAUCACACUGAUGACCAAGUGAGAUAAGUGGUUUUUGAAGGAAAGAACUUGAGGCUGGCGAGGACCACUUAACCUUCUAGCAAGGGCUGGACUCAGGGAGGCUUUCCUGAGCUGCGGGGAGGAUGACAGGUUCCCUGGAGUGGUGGUGGGUGGGGGCGGGGCUGAGGGGUGGUAGCCAAGGGAGGGUGAAGGAGAGUAUUCCAGAAGAGACAACAGCUUAGGCAGGCAGGACCUCGCCAUGGAGGAAGGUGCUUUCUGAUCACUGCGGGACACCUGUGUGAUAGCUCAUAGGGAGGGGGUACUGGUAACUAAAAGUUGAUAAGGAAGAGUGGCUAAAAUGAAAAGCAGAAAAGUGAGAAUCUCAUCAAAUCCCCUCAUUUGACAGGAUUUGGACUCCCAGUAGUAACUGUCCUUAAACACUCACUCCUGACCUUACAACCCUGGCUGUUACCUGGUUAACAAGCCCCAGGUGUUGGCUACAGGUGUCAUCACUGAGAGCCCUUGUGUGCAGAUCUGCCCCAGCUCUCCCACCUGUGACUGAGGCUAGCAAGUCCCCCGUGGGCUGUAGAGCCUAGCGCUGGUGUCAGAAUCGCUUGUUGCAGGUUCAUCUUCAGUGUCUUUCCCACAGCCACAUGCUGGGGAAAGACGGCAAAGGCGCUAGAGGAGCAGGAGAACAAAGCAAGCUGCCCCAGACCACCCGGCUUUCGCAGAACCCAGAUGAUGCUCCUGUCUCCCCCUAAGUAUAACGUGUUAUGUAGUCAGUAUGAUCCCAUUCAGUGCAGAAGUAUCGCCUAGGAAUUUCCUGCCCCACCCACCCUGUUUUGUUCUUAAUGAAGUUCAAGAACAAAAUGAGAUGAUAGUCAAGUUAUGGAGCAGGCUGCAGUGGAUACAAGGGCAGAAACACAGUCUUUGGAGUUAGACCUGGGAUCUGCAUUGAUUGGUUGUGUGACUGCAGACAAGUUAUUUAGCCUCAUUAAGGAUGAAUUUCUUCGCAAAAAUUGGAAUAAUACCUGCCCCAUACGACUGUUGUGAGAAUUAAACACCGCAACUUUUGAUGUUCAAAUUCUAUUUCUUCUCCUUCUAGCAACACAUACUGUUAGUGCCAGGAACCAUAAAAAUUAUAAGGCUGUAUCUAGAGGCCUGAAAGGAAGCUAAAAUAUACAGUGUCUACUCUGUCUCUUUUCUCUUGGUUAUGGUAUCAGAGGAAAUACACAUAUUUUCUUAGCUUCAAACCACCAAAAAAGAUGAUGCAGUAAGGAGAUGGGAAAUCUAAUUUGGAAUACAGUGUGCAAAUCUUAUUUUCAAGCAGACUUUGAAAAUAAAACUCAAUUCUUACGUUAGAGGAUUAUCUGCUUAAUACAAUUAUAGGGUACCAGUUUUUGAAGUCACAUCGGGGUUAAAUAAGAUUGCAGGUUCAUGGGGUCAUAUUUGAAUGUUCUGAUACUUACAUAUGGGGUGGGAAGGAGGAAUGCAUGCUUUUCUCAAGUUAAGACACAUAAAAGAGUUGUCCUGGCCCAGGUGAGACUCGCCUUUGUGUAGCAGCUGGAGCUUCAUUCCACAGGCAGAUAGGGUGCUUGUGUCCUGAUGAAGUAAGAGAAUAUAUCUGGAAACACUUUGUGUACUGUGAAAUACUAUACAAAUGCAGGGCAGUACAAAUGUAAAUAUUAAUGUAUUUUAGUAAUAAUUUUAGCUUUUAUUUCAUCAUAUAUAAUAAUUUGUAGUGACUGGUGUGAAGUUAAAUAGAAUUAACCUAGAAUUAAUGAGUUUUGUAUUGCUCUCAUCUAUUUGAAGCAUCAGCUGUGCCUUUCAUGUUGCCUUGUGCAGCCCUGUGUAACCUCCUCUGUGCCUUUCCCAUGGAGCACUGUGUCAUAUCACAAGUAGAACUACAAGAAGAUAUUUCUCCUCAGGGCAGAGGCUGGGUCUUCCGAUUGAAUCUCCCUUCUUUCUUCAUUGAGAUCCUCUUCUUCUGGAAGCUGGUUUCACAUGGUGGCUUAGAUUUUUCCAUCUUUGUAUCUAGCACCAUUUGAAAUCAGUGUUUUAGGAGUAAGAAUUGCAGCACAGCCAAGGGUGGACUGCAGAGGAACUGCUGCUCAUGGAACUGGCUCCUCUCCUCUUGCCACUUGAGUCUGUUCGAGAAGUCCAGGGAAGAACUUGAAGAGCAAAAUACACUCUUGAGUUUGUUGGGUUUUGGGAGAGGUGACAGUAGAGAAGGGGGUUGUGUUUAAAAUAAACACAGUGGCUUGAGCAGGGGCAGAGGUUGUGAUGCUAUUUCUGUUGACUCCUAGCAGCCAUCACCAGCAUGAAUGUGUUCGUAGGGCCUUUGAGUGUGGCGAUUGUCAUAUUCUGUUGGAUAACAAUGUAUUGGGUGUCGAUUGUCAUGGGGCAGGGGAGAGGGCAGUACACCUGGAGGACCAUUUUGUCCACAUCGACACCAUCAGUCUGCUCUUAGAGGAUGCCCUGGAGUAUUCGGCGUUGAUUGCGGGGCACCCGAAAUCAGACUUGCCACCUGGACUGUCGAGGUGCAGACCCUGGGAGCACCACUGGCCCAUCUCUUACACAGGCUGACCGAUUUCUCCUGGUGUUCAGAGUCUGUUUUUGUCUAGCACCAUUUGAAAUCGGUUAUGAUGUAGGGGGAAAAGCAGCAGCCUCGAAGCCUCAUGCCAACUCUGGGCAGCAGCAGCCUGUGGUUUCCUGGAAGAUGGAUGGGCAGAGAAUAGGGAAGGAAGAUCAUGCUUUUCCCUACUAACUUCUGUAACUGCAUGUAUGAUACAUUAUUGCAGAGGUAAGAGAUAGUUUAAUGGAUUUUUAAAAACAAAUUACUAUAAUUUAUCUGAUGUUCUCUAGUUGCAUUUUGCUGAAAUGUAGUGCUGUUCUAAAUUCUGUAAAUUGAUUGCUGUUGAAUUAUCUUUCUGUUGAGAAGAGUCUAUUCAUGCAUCCUGACCUUAAUAAAUACUAUGUUCAGUUUAUCAUGUCUGUGUUUUUCAUCUAUUAUUUCCCAUUCAUAAUUCUGUGAUGAUAAGAAGUGGGUCCUGAAAAAUUAAUUGGCUGUGCAGAUCUUGCCUACUUCAUAAAGAAUUUGAAGUAGGUUACAGCCAGCCAGACAUUAAAAAUGAAGCCCAUUAAGAGAAGAAUGAAAUUCUAUGAGCCAAGAAAUAAAAUGAGAGAAAAGAUUAGGGAAGAGAAGAAAUGUUGAAGAUCAAGGCUGAGGGAUGCUCCCUACUGAAUGGGAAAACUCCUUAGUUCCACAUGGGCUGUAGACACAGCCCUUCUGCCAGCAACUGUUCCUGCAAGGAACUGGUGCUCAACUAAACAUACUGUCACAUGGUUCCUUGAAGGGGCACAGCACUGAUUUCACUUGCAUUAUAAAAGAUUGAGUGGUGCUUUUGACUAUUAGUUUAUGUCAACACUUCAAAACAAGAUGAGCCAGUUUUUUUUUGUUUUUUUUUUUUGUUUGUUUGUUUGUUUUAGACGGAGUCUCACCCUGUCACCCAGGCUGGAGUGCAAUGGCACUGUCCCCGCUCACUGCAACCUCCGCCUCCCGGGUUCAAGCAAUUCUGCCUCAGCCUUCCGAGUAGCUGGGAUUACAGGCGUGGCACCUCCACGCCCAGCUAAUUUCUGUAUUUUGUAGUAGAGACGGGGUUUCAUCAUGUUGGCCAGGCUUGUCUCGAACUGCUGACCCCGUGAUCCACCCACCUCAGCCUCCCAAAGUGCUGGGAUUACAGGCGUGAACCACCUCGCCUGGCCCAGUGAGCCAGUUUUGUAAAGCUAUUCAGAGAUUAGCCAGAUUUGAUUUGAUAGGGGAUCAAGCUUGUAGGAUCUUCAGGAAGGCGGGCUGUGGCCCCUUGAUCAGGCUUUUUGCACAGGAGGUGCAUGACUAUGAACUACCCUCAGUAGAACUCUUUUAAGCCAGUGGCUUGCAAUAAAUGAUGGCAAAUCAGCCACCUAGGAAGCCAUUUCUAAGCCCAACCCCCUGCCACAGUCUUCCUCUAGAUGGCUGCCCUGCCCAGUGGGCUGAGAGUGGGGGGCGGAAGUAGCAUUUGCUGGGAAGACUUGCCAGUACAUAUGUUGCACCCCCUCACUGCAGCUGCAGUGCUAUUUCAGGCUGUUGAUGGAAGAACCCAUGUUCUAAUCCCCAGGAUGUGGUGGGAAGACCCUAAGUGGUGGUGUUAGUUAAGACCCUAAGUUAUAUUGUUUUGUUCACUUCCCACUGAGAUAGGCUACAAUAGUAUUAAAUACCUAUAGGUCAGACAUUUUUGGGGUCUGUUGUACUACCUACCAAUUAAACAGUUUUUGAUCCGCCCACCACGCUCAAAGCUCCAGCCUAGGUGUUGCAAAUACAGACGACAGAUUUUUGCUCUCAGGAGGCCCUGAUUCCAGUCCUCAAACGAGUAAGUGUGAAAUUGAGUGCAGCAUUAAAGCACAAAAACAAUGAUUUGAGACGUCUUUUCUAUAAAAGAAGUUUAUAGCACUCUCAUUGAAUGCUUAAAUAGUGCCACACUGCUAAGUCGUGAGAAGCAAAAUGUAACUGCGGUGCCUCAAACAGGAUUAUUUUGUUUUAUUCAUUUGGAUGCGGACAGCUCUUUAUCUAAAAUUGCCAUUCUGAGGUGGUUUUGCACAAUAAAUUGGUAAUUAUGUAGACUGUUUCUUCCAGAGACAGCAUCUUGAAUCGGGUUUAUGAAGCCAUGCUAUCAACCUAGGUAGAAAAUGCUUUGUAGGACAUGGGUCCUGCUUAUCUAAAUUUUACCAGAUUUUAUUAGCUGUAAAUUUAUAAGCGGGUCUUGGUGAAUAGAUAAUGAAAAAAAUAUUGAGUGGGGAGGCUUAUUAGACUGACAGCACCUUCAAGACUCAUGCAAGUUGGACUGGAAAAUCCCACCUGUGGAAGUAAAACACUGAUGAGUCCUUAAUAAAUAUGGAUGAGACAAGUCAAAUAUUUGGCCAAUUUAGGUGAAACAGAAAUAAGUCUAGAACUGGACAAUUAUUUGUGUAACAUACUGGCCCAGACCUUCACUUUGAGAAGCUGGUGUGUAGUUUCAGGAGAGUACCUGGCAGACUAGUGUGUCCAUACUUCGAUGGAGCUUGAGAGUUUUCCUUGAACACAAAAGUUGUAUUUUUGAGUUUAUUCUAGUAUGAUGGUGCCCUACCCUAUCUUCCUAUUCAGUUCACCCAAAGAGCCUUUAAAUUAGUGUUCCCUUGGUCCCAUCCCUACAGUCUCUGGUUUUGCUGGUCUGGGAAUGGGUCUGGACAUCACUGUUGUUUUAAAGUUGAGAGCCUCUCUUCUGUGGUCUUGUUCCUAAAACGCUUUACUACUCACUGUGGUCUGAGGGCCCCCAGCACUGGUGUGUUAGUUUCCUGUGGCUGCCCUAAAAAAUUACCACAAACAUGGUGUCUUAAAACAACACACAUUUGUACAGUUACAGAUUCCAGAAGCCUGCAAUCAGCUCACUGGACUGCAAGGGCCACCCGCCCUCUCAGAAGCGCCGGGAGAGAACAGGUUUUCUUGCCUUCUUCAGCUGCUAGAGCUGCGUUCUUUGGCUUGCACCCCCUUCCUCUGUCUUCCAAGCCAGCGGGGCAGUCUUUUGCUUCAGUGGCCAUGUUGUCUUCUGGCACAGUCACAUCUCCCCCUGCCUCCCUCUUAGAAGGACCCUUGUGGUUACAUUUAGGGCCCCCACCUGGAUAAUCCAGGAUAAUCUCCCUAUUUCAAUUUUCUUAAUCUCAUCUGUAAAGACCCUUUUGCCAUAUAAAGUAACAUUCACAGGUUCCAGGUAUUAGGACUUGGAUAUCUUUAGAGGCCAUCAUACAGCCCACCACAAACAGCUCCUUAGGCACUCAUUAGAAAUGCAGAACCUCAGGCCCCAACCGAUACCUUUUGAAUCUUCUGAUUCUAAUUUAAGAAGAUCACCAUGUAACUCACUAGCACACUAAGACUUGAGAAGCACGAUGCUAUGGGAACCUAACCAAAGAAUUCUCAAGUCCCAACUUAAAUACAAAUUUACAGAGUAUUUUUCCUAGGAACGCUUUCAGGUGGAGGAGAUUAAUCAGACGAUAGAUAAUUUUCCUGAACACCAUUCUGAAGUGCUUCUCUAAGCAUUUGUUCCUGAAUUCUCUCUCAAUGAAGCCACAAGCCCCAAACACCAGGAUUACUGUUUACAGGGGUUCCUGUUUACAGUAGUUUAGCACAGGGUUUGCCACACUGCAGCAUAUUAUUAUAGUUUAGUUUUGUAAAAAGCUACAUGAGAGAGGUAAAUCUUAUAAAUGGAGGUGGAGUCUCCUAACACCAGUUUUACCACCUCUGUACAGGUUUCCCUGGGCUAUGUACUAUCGAAUCAGGAAUCAGGAAGGGCGGCUUUUUCAAAUGUUAUCUAUACUUUUGGCAAUUUGUUCAAACGUUCUGCUGGUAUGUGAGAGGGAAGGAAAAAUUGUUUAUUGACCACAGAUCCACAAUAUUAUACUUCUCCUAUACUUAAGCAAUAAGGGACAGCAUUUAAAACUCUUUUAAAAAUGUUAAUCUUGGCUGGGCACAGUGGCUCAUGCCUGGAUCCCCAGUAAUUUGGAACACUGAGGCAGGCAGAUUGCUUGAGGCCAGGAGUUCGAGACUAGCUUGGGCAACAUGCGAGAGCCCGUCUCUACAAAAAAAAAAAAAAAAUACAAAAAUUAUCCAGGCAUGGUGGUGCACACCUGUAGUCCCAGCUGUUGGGGAAAGCUAAGUUGGGAGGAUCCCUUGAACCCAGGAGGUUGAGGCUGCAGUAAGCUGUGAUUGAGCCACUGAGCUCCAGCCUGGGUGACAGAGCGAGAUCCUGUGUCAAAAAAUAAUUUUGAUUUCACGGAAGGAGAAGAGGACUAGUCUUAUACCAUAUCCCAAAUGAAAUUGAAAAUGUCUUCUGGGAAUCACAGCAAUGACUCAAACUUCUGAAUAGUGACUAGGUUUGAGCUGGUAAGGAAGGGAUUGUCAAAUGCCGUGACAGUCCACAGGAGGGCAGCAGUGCUCCGAUUUACAAAGGAUUAGUCAUACUAGUGUAACCUUUUCUGAGUGAGCCUAGAAAUUCUGAUGAAAACAGUGUAGUCCAGGAAAAAAAAAAAAAAAAUCUGUAUGUACAAUCACUCAAUUUUGAAUCAUUUCUGGAAGUUAUUAGACUCCAUGUUAAAUCCUACUUAAGUACAAGUAUGCAAAAUUUAAAAAUAUGCAGAAAAGCUCAUUCUUGGUUAAAAUGUUAGCUGAAAGACAUUACUAAGUUUUAGAAUACCAUAGAGUUGACUAUUUCCCACAAACCCUAAAAUCUACUUGAACACCACAAAUUCAUAUUCCUUCUAAUCCCAAGUCCCUUCAGCAUUCUUACAGAUUUAUUGUUAGUUACCUUACAAAGUAACUAACUGUCCCCAUGUAUUUUAUCCCAAUUUAAAAAAUACAUUACAGUCUCAAGGUCACAUAAGAUUUUCCAAAAUGCUCUAUUCAUAGUCAAUAUAAUUUUCAGGCCGGGUGCGGUGGCUCAUGCCUGUAAUCCCAGCACUUUGGGAGGCCAAGGUGGGCGGAUCACCUGAGGUUGGGAGUUCGAGACCAGCCUGACCAACAUGGAGAAACCCCGUCUCUACUAAAAAUACAAAAUUAGCCAGACGCGGUGGUGCAUGCCUGUAAUCCCAGCUACUCAGGAGGCUGAGUCAGGAGAAUCGCUUGAACCCAGAAGGUGGAAGCUGUGGUGAGCCGAGAUAGUGCCAUUGCACUCCAGCCUGGGCAACAAGAUCGAAACUCCAUCUCAAAAUAUGUGUGUGUGUGUGUGUGUGUGUGUGUGUGUGUGUGUAUAUAUAUAUAUAUAUAUAUACACACACACACAUAUAUAUAUAAUUUUCACCUAGUGUUUUAUUAAACAGAAUGCUUCUGUAUUUUUAUGUUUAUUUGAGACAAUGCUUCUGUAUUUCUAAACAACAGCUAGCCUUGUUCAGUUAGCCAAACAACAAAACCUUAAUUCAAGUCUUCAAUGAAAUUUUCUGAUUUAAUAGGCUGAAUUAAGAAAGCCAUAAUUUUCUUCUAUAAAUAUAAGCCUUUAACUUCUAUCUUUACAAGUUUAUAUAGAAAAAUUUACUGUGGGGCUUGAGAUUUACUAAUGCAUGGGUUUUCAACCUUAGCUGCACUUUGGAAUCAUUUAGGACGCUUGGAAAUCCCUACACCCAAACCACAUCCCAGAUCAAUUACACUAGAAAUCUCUAGGGGUGGGACCCAGGUGUCUGUAAAUAUCCCCCGGUGAUUGCAAUGUGCAGCCAUGGUUGAGAAACACUGAAGCCUGCUCUGAGAAAUUUAGCAAUCCGACUUAAUUCAAAUCUGCAGAGAGAGCAACAAUGAUUUUUGCAGAAACAACCAAAUCCUACUAGUUACAUAAAUUUUAUACUUUGUUAGGACUUGGGUUUUUAUUUAGCUCUACAUAUGCGAUCAUAGGAUGCAGAAGAUAUAUCUUCUACUGGACACGUAUAUAUAGAUGCUUAAAUGUGGCUAUCCCAAGGUUAGGUAAUAAUAAAGACUAUAAGAGCUGGGCAGAAAUCAGGCACAGUUUCAUGAAGGGUAAUAUCUGAGCUGGGCCUUGGAAGAUGCAUAGGAUCUCAACAGGACAGUAGGUGUUUCAAGCAACAAUGAACUAGGAAUACAGCAGAAAGCACAGGGGAAAUGGUCAGGCUUGACUGAGAGUAGGUUAUUUGAAGAAGUGCAAUAGAAAAUGCUUGGGGAAGAAAGUUGGGAUUUAAUUGUAAAAGGUCUUCAAGUAUCAGGCUAAGAAAUGUGGACUUCAUCCAGUAGGUAAUGUGAUGUCACUGGAUAUCUGUGCAGUAUCUAUGUGAUGGGUUGGGAGUGGAGAAGCCUGGGGAUACUUAAGGGUCUGAGCUAGGAGGGACAGGAGGAAUGGCUGUGGGAGUGGAAUGGUUAGAAGAUGGGCCCAAUUAGAAACAUACUUCAAUUUGAGACAAAACCCACUAGAAAUAAACACAUCAUCAUGAAACAUCUCCAAAUGUACAAU